AGUAUUCUGGGAGAUGUAGUUCGUUGAGGGCCUUAAUGAAAUCGGGGGGCCUCUUGCUGAACCAGCAAAAAACGCUUCAUCCUGUACGGCAAUUGCUUCCCAGAGGCUUUGAACGGCCUCUGCCCUUAUCUUGCUUAGCCUGGCAGAUUUAUAGCCAAGCUGCCGGCUGAGGACUUACGGCCUGGCAAUUACUAAGGAAUCUCCAGCCCUGUCUGCACCCCCAUCAACACUGCUGUCUCAGUGAAGAGCUGACAAAAGGGACACAGGUUUAAAAGAAGGACCAAUUCAGCAUGUGCUCUCCAGCUAUACAUGGAAGACUCUCAAGAAAAUGGUUUGAAGACAUCAAUUGACCAUACAGCAGGGCCCCGCUUUUCGGAGUUUCGCUUCUCGGCGUUCCACUAAUACGGCGGUUUUCAGUUACAGUAGGACCCCACUCAUACAGCGCUUGUUCGGCAUUUUUCAAGUGUUGGGUGCCAUUUUAUUGUCGGUGUUCCACUUUUCAGCGGAGGUCUGGAACCUAACCUGUCGUAUGAGUGGGGCCCUACUGUACAAUAGUUUCUCCAUGGAGCAUUUAGGCUAAACUAAAUGAUACAAUAGAUUUAUUAUUAUUUUUUCAUUUAUAUCUCACCUUUCUUCCAAGGAGCUGAAAGUGGCAUACAACAUGAUUCUCCCCCUCCCAAUUUUAUCCUCACCCUGUGAGGCUGAGACCACAGUGACUGGCUUAUGGUCACCCAGCUUGCUUUAUAGCUGAGUGCAAAUUUGAACCCUGGUCUGCCAGGUCCCCAUCUGACACUCUAACUAGUACAUCACACUGGCUUGAGUCUAUGUACGUUUUAAAUAUACACACACUAGAAGCCUCAUACCUGAAUUUCUUUGGAAAUUCUAAGAAACCAAAAAAUCAGUGCCAGUUUGAAAGGUUCAGUCCGCCAUCUUGAUUGAAAGUGGCAUCCAACUGUUUCCACACAUAGAUGAAAACCUACUCUUUGAUCUCAGGAACUAUAAUGCACAAUUUGGUUGCAAUAGCUUAAAGACUUGUCCAAAUUCAUAGCAAACGUAUAAAAACAAUUCUCUAAAGUAUAUGUGAAGCAGCAUCUACUUUCAGCUGAGGAAUGUCAGAUAGCAAUGGCUGUUUAACCCUUCCCACCUUUUAACUGCUCAAUCAACCUUGCCAGUCCCUCCCUCACUUACAAGGGACCUUGGGAGACCAAGAGGAGAGAAGCAAGAUUGUGCAUUGACAAAUUGGGGAAUUUGUUAUGUACCUCCCCUGUUUCGCUACAGGAAAUGCCUCCAAAUGCUGCUUUUAAGCUAAAUAUCUUAUGGACUAUUCACCCAAAUAAUUUAGUUUGGCCCAUAGAAGGUUAAACUGCAAAAGUUUUACUUACAACUAUAUCGUCUGUUACUUUGAUGCACAAAUUCCCAUCACAGUGUCGAUAUUUGAGUACCACACGGACCUGAAAUGAUACAAGCAACAUUUUAUAGCUGACUAAAUAGCAUCUAUGGCUAUCGCCACACUACAAGGUAACUAAGUAUUAUACAGCCACGAGAGUGGCUGUAUACUGUAGUCAGCAUGGAUUUUUCGCAAUCCACAAUGUUAAUUGAAAAUACCCCCCAUGUCAUUCUGUUGCUUCCUAUAAGCUCAUUUCAAAACAAAACCUUAUAAAAUUUAUAGUCCUAAACUCAGAAAGGCUUGCUUAACAACCCUCUAAAUUUUCAUGGCGAUACACAAAACAGUCAGAGAGAAUUGAGAGUUCAAAGUGUAAAAAGAGAAAAAUCAGACCCCUUUUGGACUUUUUUCUGUUGAGUACUCAUAAUUUGUUGAAAUUAAUUAAAAAUCAGCCAAGUUCACAGAGUACCUGUAAUCCUAUUAUUGACCUUGCCCCAUACUUGAACUUCAUGUUCAGCAGUUUAAAAUUUUUUAAAAAGCCUGGCUGAUUUUUAAUUCAUUUAAGAAAUUUAGCAUUGAACUCAAUGAUAAGGCCAGGCAUGGUCAGUAAGAACCAACUAUCAGUGUUCUAAAAGCCAGACUUACAGCUGCUGGGCUUGCCUAAUCAGGGGGCCACACCCACACCAGACCUUUAUUUCACUUGAGACAGUCAUGGCUUCCCCCAAAGAAUCCUGGGAAGUGUCGUUUGUGAAGGGUGCUGAGAGGAGACUCCUAUUCCCCUGACAGACCUCCAGUGUCCAGAGGGGGUUUAACAGUCGGCUGCUCUGAUUGAAGCUCUGUGAGGGGAAUACAGCGUCUCCUAGCAACUCUCAGCACCUUUCACUAAUUAUACUUCCCAGGAUUC